UACGUAGGGUGCAAGCGUUAAUCGGAAUUACUGGGCGUAAAGCGUGCGCAGGCGGUUAUGCAAGACAGAGGUGAAAUCCCCGGGCUUAACCUGGGAAUGGCCAUGGAAACUGGCGAACUGGAGUGCGGCAGAGGGGGAUGGAAUUCCGCGUGUAGCAGUGAAAUGCGUAGAUAUGCGGAAGAACACCAGUGGCGAAGGCGGUCAACUGGCCUCAUAUUGACACUCAGACGCGAAGGCAUGGGUAGCGAACGGG
rnacentral:rRNA from 1 species